UCAGCUUUCUUAUGUGGACAUGUCCAAAUGCAGCCCAGAAAUAGAGAUGGGUGCCUGACAUCCCACUCUCUAGCUCCAACCAUCAUCAGCCCACUCUUCCCACACUCCAUUAUUGAAGCAACUUCCAGCCGCCUUACACUUUAUCUGGAUAUAUUUCAGUAUGUAAAUUGCUUCUAUGUGAGCAUAGUGAAAGAACGUGGCAAGUGAAUCACUGCACAGAGGGUUCCAGAUAAAGCAAAACCUGUGAGCAGCCUGGAUGACUGGGGGUUGGGGAUCCUUGUGGAGACCAGCUUCCUACUGAGUACAUGAAAAACCUGCCCUUUGCCAGGCCCCUGCUCUAGCCCUGGCAUAGGCUUGGCACUUGAUUCUCCCUUCCAUGUCCUUUUAGAUCGUGCGCCUCUAGAGGGCAGGGCUGCUGUUCAGAGAGCUCUUGCAUGGCAUCUCUGGACCUGCGUAAGAAAUGUUCCUGGAAGAACUGACGCAGGCAAGAGGAGCUAAUCUUUCAGAUUUCCUAACAGUGAAGUGUGGUAGGCUGAAUUUUAAAUAAACCCCAUCACCUUUGUCCCUGGGGUCAUGUCUAUGAAUGUGUAGGUUACAUGGCAAAAGGGACCUUUGCGAUGCAGUUGAAGUUGCUAAUCAGUCAACCUUAUCAAGAUAAGGAGGUUAUCCUGCAUGAUUAAAACCUUGGAUUCUCCUGGAUGGGCUCUGUGUCAUCACAGGAGCCCAGAAAGAAUGAGCACAGGGGUCCCAAGACAAGAAGGACUUGAGUGCUGUUGCUGCUUGGCAGAUAGAAGGGGCCACGUGAGGAGAGGUGGUGGUGGCCUUUGGGAGUAGACACCAAACCCAAACCAGCACCCAGUGAGGACGUGGGGACUCGGUAACCUCAAAGAAGUGAAUCCUGCUGACCACCUGAGAGGGGCUUGGAAGGGCUUCCACCCCAGGACCUGCAGGUCAGCUGCACAGGGGAAUCACUUGGCUCCAGGCUGCAAGUUGAGUGUGGGUCUGCUGCAUGUGUGUUUAGUUCAGAGCCUUGAUGGAAGAAGUAGCAGCUUCUCAGGAUGUGUUGGUGGUGUUCUCAUUAAGGAUUCAAAGCACAAGAGAGCAAGCCCAGGCCUGCAACACAUGCUGAGCCUCUGAUUCAGCCACAUUCUUCAAAAUCUCAUUAUCUAAAGCAAAUCAUGUGGGACAAGAUGCUGGACUGUGGUCAAGGGGACUCGGCCGGCAAAAGGCUAUGUGACCGAAGACAAGGAUCUCCCCCGCCCCCCUUCUGUCCUUUAGAUCUGUUUUCUGAGAGGCUGGGCUUGAGUCUUUCAGAAUUCAGAGUGUUUUCUUCAACUGGUUUAUCUUCGGUGGAGAGUCUCCAGGUGGACCACGGGUGCGCCACUUCCUUGACCUCGGGCAGCCCGGUGGUUUCCUGGAGCAGCCGCGCCUGGGGCCACUGCGGCUGGGCUCGGGGUCCCGCUGAACCUUCCUUCACUGUGAAAGCAAGCAGGCUGGGCCGAAGAGCCUGGGAGAGCCGUCUCCAGAUGCAAAAAUACAAGAGGGCGCAGAACCCACCAGCGCCAUGGCCUUGAAUAUCAAUGCACGGGCUGACUCCAGACCACCAAGUUCAUUUAAAAAAAAAAAAAAUGUCUCUG